GGGUCAGUAGGUCGGUCGUGCCACCGGUACGUACUGGUCUCACUGAUUCCUCCUUCCUGAAGAACCGUAGUGCCGUUAAUUUGGUGUUGCGGGGAAACAGGACUGUUACUUUGAAAAAAUUAGAGUGUUUAAAGCAAGCUAACGCUUGAAUACAUUAGCAUGGAAUAAUGAAAUAGGACGAUCGAUCCUAUUUUGUUGGUUUCUAGGAUUGACGUA
rnacentral:rRNA from 1 species